rnacentral:rRNA from 1 species
GACGAACGCUGGCGGCGUGUUUAACCCAUGCAAGUUGAACGAGAAUUUUUUAACAGAUUCUUCGGAAGAAGUUAAGAAAGAAGUAGCGAACGGGUGAGUAACGCGUGAAUAACCAACCCUCCACAGGGGGACAACAGCUGGAAACGGCUGCUAAUACCGCAUAAGACCACGGUGACACAUGUUACAGUGGUAAAAACUGAGGUGGUGGAGGACGGGUUCGCGUUCCAUUAGCUAGUAGGUAGGGUAACGGCCUACCUAGGCAACGAUGGAUAGCCGAGCUGAGAGGCUGAUCGGCCACACUGGAACUGAGACACGGUCCAGACUCCUACGGGAGGCAGCAGGGAGAUAUGUACAAUGGGGGAAACCCUGAUACAGCAACGCCGCGUGAAGGAAGAAGGCUGGUUGUAAAC